GUGUCUGUGACUGCUGGUAAGUGCAAUUUGGGCUGGUUCCAUUUAUAUUCUUUGAUCAGGUAUAUUGAAGAUAAAUGGCUUGCUGUGUUUUUCUCUACACCUAGACCUCCCUGCUGUGGUAAAAUAAAUGCUAACAUUAGCAUGUGAAUUUAAGACAAGGAUAUAUUUACCUGCAUUCCUACCAAAAUCUUGAGGGAAUACCUUGGUGGGAGCACGCUGUUUCAGGCGCUGGCAAAAUGAUGGUGAUGUAUGUUCCAGCAAGUAAAAGCUGAGCAAGGUUAUAUUUCAUCUGACGGUAAGAAAGUGUCAGAGAAGAGGUCGGCACACACCCCUCUGGUCUCUCCACCAUGUCACACUGAAGUCACUGGAUGCUCAGUUGUUGGAUGCAGACAAGAAGAUAAAUAUGUAUGUAUGUAUGUAUGUGUAGUUUAAAAAAAAAGAGCUGAAGUAAAGACAUCAUUUGAAAUACAGCCAAGCAAAUGAAUAAGCUUCUGUGUGUUAGAUUCUUAUAUGGCAACACAGUCUCCCUUGAGGAUUGCAUAAAAUGUUCAUUUAAUCUUUCUCAUAUUCUGCUCCAUAAUUAACCCAAAUGACCAAAGACAUCUUUGAAAUGUCACCAUAGAGGUUAUAGAAUUGAUCAACUCCUUUUAGGUGUUUUGUGCUCAUUCUGUGCCUUGGGGAACUAAAAAUCAUCUUUACUGU